UAAGGAAUAUUGCUCAAUGGGAGAAAUCCUGAAGCAGCAACGCCGCGUGGAGGAUGAAGGGUCUAUGACUUGUAAACUCCUGUAAAGAAGGAAAAAAUUCCCAUUUGAUGGGAGAUGAUGGUACUUCUGGAGUAAGCCCCGGCUAACUACGUGCCAGCAGCCGCGGUAAUACGUAGGGGGCAAGCGUUGUCCGGAUUUACUGGGUGUAAAGGGUGCUCAGGCGGAUUUGAAAGUCAGAGGUGAAAUCUUACAGCUUAACUGUGAAACUGCCUUUGAUACUGCAAGCCUAGAGUAUGGAAGAGAGUGAUGGAAUAUCUGGUGUAGCAGUGAAAUGCGUAGAUAUCAGAUAGAACACCAAUGGCGAAGGCAGUCACUUGGUCCAUUACUGACGCUAAAGCACGAAAGCGUGGGUAGCAAAC
rnacentral:rRNA from 1 species